ACAUCCAGAGAAUUUAGCAGAGAUGCUUUAGUGCCUUCGGGAACUCUGAGACAGGUGCUGCAUGGCUGUCGUCAGCUCGUGUUGUGAAGUGUUGGGUUAAGUCCCGCAACGAGCGCAACCCUUAUCCUUUGUUGCCAGCACGUAAUGGUGGGAACUCAAAGGAGACUGCCGGUGAUAAACCGGAGGAAGGUGGGGAUGACGUCAAGUCAUCAUGGCCCUUACGAGUAGGGCUACACACGUGCUACAAUGGCGCAUACAAAGAGAAGCGACCUCGCGAGAGCAAGCGGACCUCAUAAAGUGCGUCGUAGUCCGGAUUGGAGUCUGCAACUCGACUCCAUGAAGUCGGAAUCGCUAGUAAUCGUAAAUCAGAAUGUUACGGUGAAUACGUUCCCGGGCCUUGUACACACCGCCCGUCACACCAUGGGAGUGGGUUGCAAAAGAAGUAGAUAGCUUAACCUUCGGGAGGGCGUUUACCACUUUGUGAUUCAUGACUGGGGUGAAGUCGUAACAAGGUAAGCGUAGUGCU
rnacentral:rRNA from 1 species